rnacentral:rRNA from 1 species
AACUAUGGCCAUACUGCCCUGAUCUUAAAGCUAAGCAGGGUCUGGCUGAUUAGUACUUGGAUGGGAGACCACCUAGGAAUACCAGGUGCUGUAGGCU